rnacentral:rRNA from 1 species
CCUACGGGAGGCAGCAGUGAGGAAUAUUGGUCAAUGGGCGCGAGCCUGAACCAGCCAAGUAGCGUGAAGGAUGACUGCCCUACGGGUUGUAAACUUCUUUUAUAAAGGAAUAAAGUGAGGCACGUGUGCCUUUUUGUAUGUACUUUAUGAAUAAGGAUCGGCUAACUCCGUGCCAGCAGCCGCGGUAAUACGGAGGAUCCGAGCGUUAUCCGGAUUUAUUGGGUUUAAAGGGAGCGUAGAUGGGUUGUUAAGUCAGUUGUGAAAGUUUGCGGCUCAACCGUAAAAUUGCAAUUGAUACUGGCAGCCUUGAGUACAGUUGAGGUAGGCGGAAUUCGUGGUGUAGCGGUGAAAUGCUUAGAUAGCACGAAGAACUCCGAUGGCGAGGGCAGCCUAAUAAGCUGCCACUGACAUUGAUGCUCGAAAGUGUGAGUAUCAAACAGGAGUAGAUACCCGGGUAGUC